UUGUCGCUGUAUUUUUUGUUUAUUGCAGCCAUAAAUGUCAUUCAGUAGGGGUUUUUUUUCAGUAGACUAUAGGCUAUGUUGUGUUUUGACAGCUAGCAGCUAACAUAAAGCAUUAUUUAAAAGCAAAAAGUUGGCGAGAGUGGAGGAAAAUCUUAGCUUUUCACAAAUGGAAACCAAAACACUGAAAUAUGUUUUACGUGUCUUUUAUUUGAAAAUAGUUAGAUGUCAGGUACACUUUUCUAAUAUCACUACAGAAGACGUUCUUUAUAAAGGUCUGUGUUUUGUAAUCCAGUAGGUGGCGGAAAUGUUCCAUCAACUGUUGUGUGUCCCGCCAUAAAAUGUAGAAGAAGAUGAUGCUUGAGCAGCUGAAGAGAUAUCUGCUCAGCAAUCACAUCUUCAGUAUAGCUCCACCUAAAACACAUCACCAAUAAAUUAUGGACAAUGAAGGAGAGUAUCAAAGUAUGCACCAGCAGGUUCACACUGGAGAAAAACCAUACAGUGUUUGUGUCGCGACAAGAUAUGCUCUCGCUCAGGAACCCUGAAAGCGCAUGAGUGGAUUCACACCAAAGAGAAACCAUAUCACUGCACUGAGUGUGGGAAGAGUUUUGGCCAAUCAAAUCAGCUGCUGAGUCAUAAGAAAAAACAUCACCCUGUGUUGUCGCAAUGAGCUUUUUAUCUUCAGAAACCAAUACUUUCUAAGAGAUGUGUGUGUGUUGUAGGGAACACAAGUUUGUGGUCAGUAAUUUGUUGUUGUUGAAAGAAAGCAUAUUAGGAAAUAUUGAUCAGCAAAUCAGCAUAUAUGAAAGGUUUCUGAAAACUAGAGUAAUGAUGCUGAAAAUUCAUCUUUGGUUCACAGGAAUAAAUUACAUUUUACAAUAUAUGCCCAUAGAAAACAGUUGUUUGAAAUUGUAAAAAUAUUUCACAAUAUAACUGUUCAUACUUUAUUUUUAUCAAAUAAAUACUGCCUUUGAGAGCAUAAGAAGCUUCCUUCAAAAACGUUCCUCCACUUUACAGAAUUUACCAUGGUUUAUAAAUAUGCCGUUGAAUUGGGCAUUUCUAAAAUUACUUUUUAAAUAUCUUACAGAAAUAUAUUUAUGUAACUAUACUUCAUUAAUAAUGUGAUGUAACUUGUUUUCUUAAUUUUCUUCAUUUUCUGUCUUUCUACUCUCAAUUUACAUUAUCAAUAUACUCCAGUAGGGUGACCUCAUAAUUUUGCUUCAUCAAAAUCAGUAAUUCAUCGGGUUACUGAAGACAAAAUUGAAGAACAAAGAGGUUGGUGUUUAUUCCUGGUUCUUCAUUAAAUAGGCUGAAAAACAUAAUGGUUUAAAAGCUUUGCAGUUCAUCCAUUUUACUUGUUUAAGAUAGAAAAUAUCAAAAGACUUGUGAAAUAGCAAAUAAUAAGGGACUCUUAACUGUUUAGAUGCAGCAAAGAAAAUCU